CCUACGGGAGGCAGCAGUAAGGAAUAUUGGUCAAUGGACGAAAGUCUGAACCAGCCAUGCCGCGUGAAGGAUUAAGGCCCUCUGGGUUGUAAACUUCUUUUAUCUGGGACGAAAAAAAGGGUAUUCUUACUCACUUGACGGUACCAGAGGAAUAAGCACCGGCUAACUCCGUGCCAGCAGCCGCGGUAAUACGGAGGGUGCAAGCGUUAUCCGGAUUUACUGGGUUUAAAGGGUGCGUAGGUGGGCUUGUAAGUCAGUGGUGAAAUCUCCGGGCUUAACCCGGAAACUGCCAUUGAUACUAUAGGUCUUGAAUUAUCUGGAGGUAAGCGGAAUAUGUCAUGUAGCGGUGAAAUGCUUAGAUAUGACAUAGAACACCAAUUGCGAAGGCAGCUUACUACGGAUAUAUUGACACUGAGGCACGAAAGCGUGGGGAGUCAAACAGGAUUAGAUACCCUGGUAGUCCACGCCCUAAACGAUGGAUACUCGACAUCAGCGAUACACUGUUGGUGUCUGAGCGAAAGCAUUAAGUAUCCCACCUGGGAAGUACGAUCGCAGAUUGAAACUCAAAGGAAAUUGACGG
rnacentral:rRNA from 1 species